CCGCGGUUAUACGAAAGGCCAAAAACAAUGCCCUCGGCGUAAAGCGUGACUAAAGGAACAUGUCAAAAAUUUAAGGGAAAACCACCCCAAAGUUGUAAAACACCUUGUUCGCGGGACUCUCAACAACAAAGUGCCCUUAACAAAAUGCCUUACCUCACGAAAGCUAGGAAACAAACUAGGAUUAGAUACCCUACUAUGCCCAGCCCUAAACACAGACAGCGCAAAUACACAACUGUCCGCCAGAGAACUACAAGUGAAAAACUAGAAACUCCAAGGACUUGGCGGUGCUCCACACCGACCUAGAGGAGCCUGUCCUAUAAUCGAUACCCCACGUUCCACCCUACCAUUUUUUGCAUUUCAGUCUAUAUACCGCCGUCGUCAGCUUACCUUGUGAAAGAAACAAAAUAAGCAAAACAGUUAACAACGAACACGUCAGGUCAAGGUGUAGCAUAUAAAAUGGAAGAGAUGGGCUACAUUUUCUCUCACAGAAAAUACGAACAGAACAGUGAAAUCUGCACUCAAAGGCGGAUUUAGAAGUAAGACAAACAAGAAUUUUUCUCUUAACCCCGCUCUGGAGCGCGCACACACCGCCCGUCACCCUCAUUACCUAACACAACCAUAAAAAUAUAAAAACUAACAAAAACAGAAGAGGYAAGUCGUAACA
rnacentral:rRNA from 1 species